rnacentral:rRNA from 1 species
GACGAACGCUGGCGGCGUGCUUAACACAUGCAAGUCGAACGGAAAGGCCCUGCUUUUGUGGGGUGCUCGAGUGGCGAACGGGUGAGUAACACGUGAGUAACCUGCCCUUGACUUUGGGAUAACUUCAGGAAACUGGGGCUAAUACCGUAUAGGAUCUCCUGCUGCAUUGUGGGGGUUGGAAAGUUUCGGCGGUUGGGGAUGGACUCGCGGCUUAUCAGCUUGUUGGUGGGGUAGUGGCUUACCAAGGCUUUGACGGGUAGCCGGCCUGAGAGGGUGACCGGCCACAUUGGGACUGAGAUACGGCCCAGACUCCUACGGGAGGCAGCAGUGGGGAAUAUUGCACAAUGGGCGGAAGCCUGAUGCAGCAACGCCGCGUGCGGGAUGACGGCCUUCGGGUUGUAAACCGCUUUCGCCUGUGACGAAGCGUGAGUGACGGUAAUGGGUAAAGAAGCACCGGCUAACUACGUG